UACGUAGGGUGCGAGCGUUGUCCGGAAUUAUUGGGCGUAAAGAGCUCGUAGGCGGUUUGUCACGUCUGCUGUGAAAUCCCGAGGCUCAACCCCGGGCCUGCAGCCGAUACGGGCAGACUAGAGUUCGGCAGGGGAGACUGGAAUUCCUGGUGUAGCGGUGAAAUGCGCAGAUAUCAGGAGGAACACCGGUGGCGAAGGCGGGUCUCUGGGCCGAUACUGACGCUGAGGAGCGAAAGCGUGGGGAGCGAACAGG
rnacentral:rRNA from 1 species